GUAACUUCCGGCCAGGCCGCUGUCUGGGUGGCGCGGCCGAGUCCUCGCGGGCCUCGCCGCUUCGCGCUUCCACUGCCUUUCCCCCCGCCUCGUGCGGGGGGGUCGGGCGGCCGCGGGAGGCCACUCAGACCUUCCCCGCGCCUGCGGUCGGCCCAGCGCCGUGGCUCUGCGCGCGGGGGGCCCGGGGUCUGAAGGGCUGCGGCCUACCCGGGCCCGCCGCUCAGCCCCAUGAGGCACAGCCUGACCAAGCUGCUGGCAGCCUCCGGCCGCGACUUCUCGAGCCACCGCGACCGCCAGGAGCCGUCCGCCGCGCGCGCGCCGCUCCGGGACCCGACUCGGGCAGCCGCGGGGGCGGAGACGCCCAGGCCCGGAUCGCCUGACCGCGAGCCACCUCCCGGCGACGGGGGCGAGCAGGAGGCCCGGAGGGGGAGCCGCGGCAGCGUGACCGUGCGCGCGCCCGCGCCCUCGCCCUCGCCCGUGAAGAUGGAGGAGGAGGAGGAGGACGUGAUCGCUAUGGUCCCCAAAGAAGAGCCGGAGGACAUGGACUUUCUCUCCGGGCUGGAGCUGGCCGAUCUGCUGGACCCUCGGCAGCCGGACUGGCACCUGGAGCCCGGGCUCAGCUCGCCCGGGCCGCUGUCCUCGUCCGGCGGAGGCUCGGAUAGCGGCGGCCUGUUGCGGGGGGACGACGACGACGAGACCGCGGCUGCAGAGAUGCAGCGCUUUUCUGACUUACUGCAGAGGCUGUUAAACGGCAUCGGAGGCUGCAGCAGCGGCAGUGACCGCGGCGGCGGGGAAAAGAGGCGGAGAAAGUCUCCGGGAGGAGGCGGCGGCGGUGCCAACGACACCACCAACCCGGCGGCGACCAAGAGUCCCCGGAAGGCGGCGGCGGCCGCUGCCCGUCUUAAUCGGCUCAAGAAGAAGGAGUACGUGAUGGGGCUGGAGAGUCGAGUCCGGGGACUGGCAGCCGAGAACCAGGAGCUGCGGGCCGAGAAUCGGGAGCUGGGCAAACGCGUGCAAGCACUGCAGGAGGAGAGUCGCUACCUACGGGCCGUCCUAGCCAACGAGACCGGACUGGCUCGCCUGCUGAGCCGGCUGAGCGGCGUGGGACUGCGGCUGACCACUUCACUCUUCCGAGACUCGCCCGCCGGUGACCAUGACUACGCCCUGCCGGUCGGGAAGCAGCCGCAGGAGCUGCUGGAAGAGGACGACGCGGCGGGAGGAGUGUGUCUCCAUGUGGACAAGGAUAAGGUGUCGGUGGAGUUCUGCUCGGCGUGCGCUCGGAAGGCGUCGUCUUCUCUUAAAAUUUUCUUUUUUAGGUGAUUUCCUUCCUGCCAGGCUCCGUUGUAGGGGUUACAGAACAGUCGUUCCCGCCUCACAACCUGUGGAUACAGCUGUUGGGGCAGAAGAGACGGGACCAGCUGCUGGCCACAUUUCCUGCUUUAUUUUAAAAGGUAGUAUAAGAAAUAAGGAAACAGAGGUAAUAUCAGGGCUUCUGCUGUCUUUUAUUUUCAAAAUGUUCAUAAUUAAGUAUUUUCCAGCAGUCCAAAGAUGUAAGUUAUCCUACACGUAAGAUGUUUUAUUUUGUUAUUUGGUUAUGGAAAUGGAAUCUUGUUCUUGCACAACUAACUGUAAAUGUUUUGUUGGUAGAUAAUAUGAUUUUGAGACCUAAAUUAGUCUCUGGUUUUCAGUCUAUCACAUUUUGUAAAAUUAUCUACUGCACUUGAGCAUGAAUGGGUAGUAGCCAAACUCACAACUCGGAGUGACGGACCUGCUUCUACAAGGGUAGGAACAAGCCCCACAAUGCAGCUGCAUGGAUUUUAGUGCCUACUGAAUUAUAUAUAUAUAGACAUAUAUAGAGAAACCAAAAGUAGUUGGGAAUUUAUUUGAAAUGACUAAUUUGUGCUCUUUCUGAAGUAUGUUAAAUGUAGCUUUUGAAACAGAAGCCUUGAAUUGAAAUUUAAUACUUGAACAUUUUUGUAUAUAUUUCUUUGUAUAUAAUUUUGUGCAGAACCGAUGACAAAAAUAUGGUGUCAUAAUAAAAUCAGGUUUGUUGAUCUUUCAGUUAUGGGCUCAAAGAAUUUAUUCAUCUCUAACAUGACAUUGGAAAGUAAUGGAUGAAAAUAGGAAAAAUGGUUGUUAAUAUAGACUUAAUCAAAAGGUUCUGAAAGCAGUAAGUUUGUUUUCCUAAAAAUUAUACCAUUUCUGUGGGAUAUUUUCUUAACCUCAGUGCUUUUCCUGCAUUUGAAGUGUGGGCUUGGGGAAAAAAAUCAGUUUCUGAAUUGGGAUGUUUUGAAAUUCCAAGUACAGAGUCUUAGACUGUCAUUUUAUAAAUGGCAGUUUGGAGAAUUAGGAGUUCUCGACAGUGGCAAGAUUAGAGUGUCCUAUUUUUAAAGCUGCUUUCUUAGGUUCCUUAUGUCUUAUUAACUGUCUUUUCUGUUUCCAUUUCAUUGUUUCUUUUCUAGUUUUGGUGACAGUGAUUUUUGUCAUUUUUUGCAUCAACUCAUGGUCUUGUUUUUACAUGGUAACUGCAUGUAUUUAGGACCUAUCAGGGGCUUUAAAUAAAUUUGAUCAUAUUUAUGUGUAAGCACAUUUUACUGUAAAUGUUUGGGUUUAAUUUACAGCAGUUGUUUAUUUCAGUGUGUAGUAAACAGUAUCUUAAGUGUCCUGUUCACUACUUGUUAAUUAAAAAAGUUAUGAUUAAUAUAAAACUGUUGUCUCACUAUUUUUAGAAAAUUGUGUUGUGAAUAAUUAGUAUUUUGAUAGAGUUCUGAAGUUUAAAAUAGAUUGCUUUGAAAUUUUCAGGUUUGAGUGUAUUUACUGCGAUGGAUGAGAACAAUUUAGUAUUUGGGGAACUGUUUCAGGUUUUAUUCCUGAUUUGUACCUGUGUAAAAAUGAUAGAAAACCUAAAAAUGUAUAGCCUUUAAAUACCUGUCUUCCUAUGGUAGUUAAUAGUCAUACAUUAAUUGACUAACACAUAUUGGCAUAGUAUUUCUAUCAUAGAGACUUAAGGUUUUGUCCUUUUUUUAACCAUACUUAAAAGUAUGUUUGUUAAAAAAUGUAGUCACACCUCUGAUAUAUCCAACAAAGUAUUCAAAAUAUUUUAAAUAUCUGUACAUUUCAUACUCGCUAAAUUAAUCUCUUUCUCUUCUCUUUAAACAGCUUAGCAGUAUCUGCAAAAACGAAUCUUUUCCUACAACCUGUUAACUGACUGGACUGAUGGUAACAGUAAUUGUGGGAGCCAUGUCGGUCAAAAAUUUGGCAUCUGCUGAAAAACAUGAAUGCCAUUUCCAAGGUCCCAAAUUACUUCUAUACUGAUUACACUUUCCAGAAAUGGAGAUAUGAAAAGAUUCUCUGGAAUGCUUGAAAGACUUAAUAGAAAUCCAUGAGACUAAGUUAAUUUUGGAACAAAAUUACACCUCUUUUUUUUCAUUCAUGGCAAUAACACUAAAUUUAUCGCAUACUUUAAAAAAUUGUAACCAUUGGAGAAGAGAAUUAUAGUGUUUCAUCAAGAAACAAAUUAGAUUUUUACACAAUCAAGGACAUUUUGUGGAAUUAGACUUAAUGGGUUAGAGUGACAUAAGUAGGCUAGCAGUCCUCACAAACCUCAUGAGUUUGUAUUCUGGAAUGGAAAGAGCCGCUUUGGAAGACAGACACCUUGCUGAAUAGAAUAAAGUCCUUAACUAAAAGAUUAGUGUUUUAAAAUAGAUGCAUUGAUUGUAUGUUUUGAAAAAGUGAUUCUGAUAAUGUGUGGGUGCUAAUUUAGGGAAUCCUGAGCAUGUGUGCAAUCCCAGGAUUUGGCAUCUUCGAUGUUCUGAGUACUUGAUCUCGUUGAAUGUGUUGAGGUUCCUGAUGAAUGAUAGAGUUUCUACUGUUCUGUGUUAACAUUUCUGUAGUAUUCUGUAAGGACCUUUAUAUUCUGGAUGAUAAGGGCUAAUUUCAUAAGUAAAGCACUUAGAACCCAGUCAUUUUUCAUUGUUGUUGGAAUAUGCUAAUACAUCUUUCAUCUGGUCUAGAUUGAGUUAUUUAAAUUUUUGGUUCACUUAGGAACUAUGCAGACAGAAGAGGAGAUGGUAGGAAGCAGUUAGUUUACUCAAAAUUCACUCAGGUUGCUUUUUCUUGUAUUCACCUGUAUGCUCAGUGCCCAUAAAGUAAAGGGAUUUCCACAGGCUUAUCUUUACAGUGACUGAUGUGCCUAUAGUACAGAUCUUGAAUACAACUCUGACAGAACACAGUGUGGAUAAUUCACUAAUAAUAUGUAUUGUAGUAAUAUGCAGUUACUUGGUUGAGGCAUUUUGAAGAUAAGAGAUUAUGAGCUCAGAGACAUAAUCAUUUUUCUUAACUAAAUAAGUGGUUCUUCAACAUUGAAUAGGUAAUAUCUGCAUGUGUUCCCCCCCUUAUAUGUUAAUCUUAAGUUUUGGGACCACUUUAAUAUUUAUAUUUUUAUUGUGCUUCUGGGUUCUCCCCCAUUUCCAUUUAUUUACUUAGGAAUUAAAAAGGUCAUUACAAGAAUUUAAAUAUUUGAAUUUAAAUACCAUCAUGUGUGGGCUCAAUUUUUAACCAGUCACCCUUACUGUUUUACAAUACUAUGUUUUUGUAAGAUCUAAUUCCUAGAUACAGUUGCUGUGUUUAGUGUAGUGUAAUUUAUAAUUCUGCCAGUGUAACAAUUUAAAUUUUAUUGUAGCACAAAAGUAUUCUCAAAUUUUGUGUCAUACUAUUAGGUCAAAUUCCUAUACCUUUCUGGCUUACUGUACAAGAGUUUGGGUUUGAAUAAUAUGUAUACACACAUAUAUCUUAGAUAUAAUGAGUCUGAAUAUUCUUAAAGCCAUGUGCCUAGUCAGAGUAGACUGCAAGAUUCUAAGUGUUUUUAAUCAUCUGUCUACUUUAACUAGGCAGAAACCUGAACUGUUUUCCUCAGUGAGGCAAAUUGUUCUUAGGUUUGAGCUACAAAGAACUAAGUUUCCUUAGAUUUUGAUGUUACUCAUAGUUCAUGUCAUGUACUUGCCUUCUGAACAGGUUUUUUGUUUUUUGUUUUUUUGUUUUUUUUGGUAGACUUGUUAGCAGUAGGCUAAGUGUUUAUUGCUUAGUUGCCCAUUUCUGCUAGUUAAAAAGAUUUGAUUGUAGCAGAGGGAAGAGAUUCAUGAAUCCUUUUGUGAUGUAAAGAUUAAACAUAUUUAUAGCUAGAAUGUUAGUAAAGUCCUGGGACAGUUUUAAGUAUAGUAAACAGUUUGCACUAAUCAAACAGAUUGGUUAUAUCACUGGAUUUUGAAUUACUAAGUUGAUUAUACACCAUCUGUAUUACCUAAGAAACCUAAUGUAAUUAUAUUUAAUAAAUUAUUUUUACUUUAAUCAAUUGAAUUAUGCAUUAAGUAAAAGUGAAAAUGUAGGUGAGCAGCUUUGUAUCAAAAAGCCUUUGCUUUUGCUAUUAUUCCUUAUAAAAUUUUCACAUUGCAGUUCUAAAAGUAAAGCAUAUUAAAUCUUGGGAACUCUAGAAAGAAAGCAAAAGAAACCACACAACUGACCUAGAGGAAGAUACAGUAAAUACUUUUCUCUUGGAAACUUCUCUCAUAAUUACACUUUAAAAAAACUAGAUAGAGAAAACAUUUCAUGUGCUUUUUGAAAGAACUAAUCACAGCAUUCUGAAAAUUUUAGUAGUGGCCUUGUUUUGUUGGAGACAAGGGUCUUAGCAUUGAACUAGAGAUCACUAGCCUCAAACCUAAGAGAAUGGCCCUGCCUUCCCAAUUGCUAGCAUGCCCGGGUAUUUUUUAUUUCAAUAAAAGCCUAUU